CUUGAAACACCAGUUCCCCUACGAUCACCAAAGUUUAGCAACGUCGAGCCUGGUCAGUACCUAGAUGGGUGACUGUUUGGGAAUACCAGAUGCUGUAA